rnacentral:rRNA from 1 species
GACGAACGCUGGCGGCGUGCUUAACACAUGCAAGUCGAACGGAAAGGCCCUGCUUUUGUGGGGUGCUCGAGUGGCGAACGGGUGAGUAACACGUGAGUAACCUGCCCUUGACUUUGGGAUAACUACAGGAAACUGGGGCUAAUACCGGAUAGGAGCUCCUGCUGCAUGGUGGGGGUUGGAAAGUUUCGGCGGUUGGGGAUGGACUCGCGGCUUAUCAGCUUGUCGGUGGGGUAGUGGCUUACCAAGGCUUUGACGGGUAGCCGGCCUGAGAGGGUGACCGGCCACAUUGGGACUGAGAUACGGCCCAGACUCCUACGGGAGGCAGCAGUGGGGAAUAUUGCACAAUGGGCGGAAGCCUGAUGCAGCAACGCCGCGUGCGGGAUGACGGCCUUCGGGUUGUAAACCGCUUUCGCCUGUGACGAAGCGUGAGUGACGGUAAUGGGUAAAGAAGCACCGGCUAACUACGUG